rnacentral:rRNA from 1 species
AUUGAACGCUGGCGGCAGGCCUAACACAUGCAAGUCGAACGAGUGGCGGACGGGUGAGUAAUGUCUGGGAAACUGCCUGAUGGAGGGGGAUAACUACUGGAAACGGUAGCUAACACCGCAUACCAUUGGAUGUGCCCAGAUGGGAUUAGCGAGUAGGUGGGGUAAAGGCUCACCUAGGCGACGAUCCACAGCUGGUCUGAGAGGAGGACCAGCACAACUGGAACUGAGCCACGGUCCAGAAUCCUACGGGAGGCAGCAGUGGGGAAUAGUGCACAAUGGGCGCAAGCCUGAUGCAGCCAUGCCGCGUGUAUGAAGAAGGCCUUCGGGUUGUAAAAUACUUUCAGCGGGGAGGCGUUACCCGCAGAAGAAGCACCGGCUAACUCCGUGCCAGCAGCCGCGGUAAUAC